GCCGAUUAAAGCGGUACGUGAGCUGGGUUUAGAACGUCGUGAGACAGUUCGGUCCCUAUCUGCCGUGGGUGCAGGAGACUUGCGAGGAUCUGUCCCUAGUACGAGAGGACCGGGAUGGACGUACCUCUGGUGUACCAGUUGUGGCGCCCGCCGCAUCGCUGGGUAGCUAAGUCCGGACGGGAUAACUGCUGAAGGCAUCUAAGCAGGAAACCCCCCUCCAAACGAGGUCUCCCUCGAGGGCCGUGAUAGACCAUCACGUCGAUAGGCCGCAGGUCGAAGUCGGGUAACCGACGCAGCCGAGCGGUCCUAAUCGCCCGAUAGAACUUC
rnacentral:rRNA from 1 species